rnacentral:lncRNA from 1 species
AAAAUGUCAGGAUUCAACAAUUCAAAUGACUUUGUAUUGACAACGGACCAGUGUGUGUGGGAACAGAUGGUUCAGAUUGACAGUCAGCAGUUCUGUUAUCUGCUGCUGCUGUUUAAACUAAAAAAAUGUAUGAAUGCAUAGUAACAGUCAAGGAAUCAGCUGAUAAAUGGUGACUGUAUCUGUAUGUUGCGACUAUUGUAUCUCACUCAAAGAGUACUGCGUAUUCAAACUCUUUGGACGCUAUUAGUAUUUUCAAUGAUGAUAUCAGUAGUUCAUAGACAAUUAUAUAUUCAAAAGAAUGUUCAGUGUUAAGUACAUAAUAUGCAUGUGGAGUGAUAUCAGUUCGUAAUCAUUUUAUCUUAAAUAUAUCUCGAGAAAUAUGUGUCUGGGAGCAAUAUAAUAAUGGUUCAGCGCAAAAAAAAAUGUGUAGGAGAGAGUUCACAAUCUCACCUCAUCAACAGUGCAAAAAUUUGGUGAUACAGAGAUAACUGGAUGAUAGUACAAGGAACCAUCAUUGCACUGCUGACUGUUCAUCAGCCAUUUCCUGAUUGCUUCAGCUUACUGCUCAUCGGUCAUUCCCCAAUUGCUUCAGCUUUGCUGCAACCUGCCUCAUUGAUGGCCGAACAGCUACAGAUUCUAAGGUGCAUGAUAAAGCUAUCUUUAGCAUUUCAGUUAAUCUAUCCUUUGGUGCUGCAUCCAGUAGUCCUCGAGAGAAGAAUUCGCUGGUAUUGUCUUCCUGCAUCAGCAUCCGUCCCCACGAUACAAUUGUAAAGCCAUUGCCAAACUGUGAGAAGGACGGAUCCAAAGACCUCUUGCCUGACAUCAACUCCAGGAGAACAACCCCAAAGCUGUAAACAUCAGCCUUGUCAGAGACUCUGCAGGUGGUUGCAUACUCUGGUGCGACAUACCCAAAGGUACCAGCAACAUCCGUUGUGGCAUGCGUUUGUGUAACUUCUAUCAGUCUUGCCAAGCCAAAAUCUGACAAGUAUGCGUUAAGAUCCUCGUCAAGGAGGAUGUUGCUCGGUUUGAUGUCUCGAUGAAUUAUCCGGGGUGUGCAGGAGCAGUGAAGGAAAGCCAAUGCUUGUGCAACAUCCACCGCUAUCUUGUGAACCUCAAUCCAGGACACAUUUCUGCUCCCCAUUUCAUGUAUGAACGUCUCGAGGUUCCCACCAGAGAGAUAGUUGUAGAUAAGGAAAGUGUCUGAUUCUCCGAGAUGGUACCCAAUAAGUGUAACAAGAUUUCUAUGCCGGAUUCUUCCAAGAGUUCUGAUUUCCGCAUCAAACUGCUGGAGACCUUGGAAGCGCCCCAUGGCUAGCCUCUUCACUGCUACAAGAAAACCAGGAGCCAGUUCAGCCUUGUAGGUCGCACCAAAGCCACCUGUACCAAUCAAGUUCUGGAUGCUGAAAUUGCUUGUUGCUCGGAUAAGGUUUUCGUAAGUAAGCUCCGGAGGGGCAUCAGUAAAAGUCACGACCACUUUUGUCCUUAGAUUUGAAAUCUUCACCCGUUUCCUUCUUUCACACACAAAGAAGAGAAGGAUCACAAGAAGAAAAGAUAUUGCAGCAGUUGAAGCUGCAACUAAAAUCACCAUAAGAGACUUAAAUUUAGACCCCCAUUUUUUCGCUCCUUUUGAGGAACUGAUUGCUUCAGUUGGUGGUAGAGAUGCAUUUGUACUCAAACAUUGGUGCAAUAGGGAAUUGCCAAUGAAGAAACCACAAUCAGAAGGGUGCCUAAGAUUGGGAAUGUCACCUGAUAGGUUGUUGAAUGAGACAUCAAGAACUGUAAGCUGAGCUAGUUCACUGAAACUGGGAGGGAUGCUUCCUGAGAGCCUAUUAUGGUCAAGCCUCAAUACUUCAAGGCGUGAAGCGUCAGUUAAAUGUAAUGGUAUGCUGCCUGUUAGAGAAUUCCUUGAUAAAUCUAGAACCUCAAGAGCAGCCAAGUCACCAAACUGCCCUGGAAUCUGACCUGUCAGAUUGUUACCACUCAAGACCAAGCUCCUCAGAAAAUGCAGACCACCGACACCAUCGGGUAUUGACCCUCUGAAGUUAUUAUAACCAGCAUCAAAAUUUUGCAUAGAGGCACAGGUUGAAAGCAUGUCAAGGCUUCCUGACAACUGAUUACUACUCAAAUUGACUGCAACGCCUGUUGCGAACUUGCAGAAUCCAAAAAAUCUGGCAGAAAGAGUGCUGCUGAACAUAUUGCCAUUAAGCCACAAACCAUAAGAGUAGUUUCUAUCUAGACUGACAGUAAGAGACGGCAACGUCCCGCCAAAGCCAUUGUUGCUGAAGUCAUGGAGAGCAACAUUAGCAAUGCCCCCUAACUCAGAACCAAAAGGGUUUCCAAUCAGCACAUUACCAACCAAUUCAUCAUAGUACUGCAUUACAAUAUCAUCACCAAUCAAACGGCUUGAGCAUUGGCUCUCGGUGGACAAAAGAAGCAGACCUGACAGAGAAUUUCCACUGAUAUUGAAGUACGUCAGACAUCCAACUGCCAAUUCUGCGGCCAUUGAGCCCUCCAAUCUGUUGGAGCUCAGAUCAAGAAAUGUCAAGCCAUGACACUCUCCGAACCAAGCGGGCAAGGUACCAGCAAUGUAAUUCUGCCCCAGGUUCACGGCACGAAGACCGCAGGUACCAUUCCUGGACAAUGGCAACCGGCCAUCAAGGUUGGCCCUAGGCGCCCAGAGAACCUCCAUCGCCGGAAUGGUCAGCACUUCCGUCGGCAGCACCCCAACGAAGGCAUUGAACUCCGGCUGCUCCCCAGCCGACGCAGUGAGAUUGGUGAGCACGAGGACUGCGAGCUCCCGGCAGUUGGCAAGCUCCACGGGGAUCCUGUCGGUGAGGCUGUUGCGGGAGACGUCGAGGACGCGGAGGGCGGCUAGCCGGCCAAGCCCCCGCGGGAUGGCGCCCUCCAGGACGUUGUGGGAGAGGUCGAGGACGCGGAGGGAGCGGCAUUGCGCGAUCUCCGCCGGGAUUUGGUCGACGAGGAAGUUGCCGGCGAGGCGGAGGUGGGUGAGCGCGGCGCAGGGGGGCGACGAGGAGUUCGCGAGAGGAGGCGGGAUUUUGAGGGGACCCGAGAGGCUGUUGAAGCUUAGGUCGAGGUAGCCGAGGGUGGUGGACGAGAGGAAGGCGUCGGGGACGGGGCCCGAGAAGUUGUUGGCGGCGAGGUCGAGGCGGCGGAGGCGCGGGGGCAGGGGAAGGGCGGCGGGUAGCGUGCCCGAGAGGGAGGCAGCGGGGAGGUCGAUGGCGGCGACCGCAAGGGAGGAAGGAUGGCAUGUGACGCCGCGCCAGCGGCAGUAGCUGGUGGCGGAGGCGGCGGACCAAGCGGAGAGGGCGCCGCCGGGGUCGUGGGUGACCGCGGCCUUGAGCGCGAGGAGGGCGGCGAGGUCGGCGGCCGAAGAGGAUGCGAGCGGGAUUGGUAGGAGCAACAGGAGGAGGAAGAGGAGGACGGGUGGUGGUGGGGCCGCCAUGGCGGCGGCGGGAGCAACGGGGCGAGGAGUGGAGUGGAUGGAGAGAAGACGACGAAGGCAAGCGUGCCCGUGCCGUGCCGUGGAUUUUAAAAUUUCUCCAUUUUAUUAUUUUUUCCCCUUCUUUUGUGUGUUCCGGUUCGUCUUUGUUGACUGAACCAUGGAGGCACGGACCACGGUUUGGUACCGGCCCACUUAGAUCUUAUAAUUUCCUAUUUGACCUCAGAAAAAAUUAUUAGAAAAAGUUAUUAGUUCGUUUCUCAAAAAAUUUAACUUUCAUUCCUAAUACGAUACUCUGUUAAAUUUUCUAUUCGGGAAUCGUUAAAUACCCUGCAAAAAACAGUUUUUGCCCCUAUGACCCUACCACCCUUCUCCCUCCUCUGCUCCACACCGCGCGGGCUCGUCGGCAUCUCCCCAACCGUCGCCGCCCUCCUCUUGGCCUGACUUUUUUUAUUUUUUAGCCUUUUUUUAAAGCCUGGUGGAAAUAUUUCAAAAUCUGGACCCUUAGCUUGGCGCCACCAGGCGCCAAGCGUACACGUCUCGGCGCCGGAGGUUCUGGCACCUAGGUCGUUGCACAACUGGUGACGUGGAUGCUGACAUAGUGAGGCUUGACGCUAGGGUGGAUGGCGUCAAGCUUAGCCCCGUAGAUCUUGGGUGAUUCAAGGAAUGAUAACUCAAGGGAUGAUGACUAUGAGCCCAGUGAUACUGAGGUCGAAUCUUCAGUAGCUUCUUCAGUUAAUGAUGAGGAUGAUGAGAUGAAUCAAGAGGGUGAUAUGGAUGAGAUCAUUGAUGUGCUGUCACACUCCUAAGAGGAAGUGGACCAUGGAUACAUAUUCAAGAGAAAGAACUCCUUAUCAAUACAUUCUUCCCCGUACCACUUCAAAUCUCUUCUUCUACACUCAGGUACAAGAGGAUGCCUUCUUUGGUCAUUUGCUGAGUAAGACAAUAUUUAAGCACCAAACCAUAGAUUUUCAUUAUAUGGCUCAGCAACCCGUGAUGAGUGAAGUAGUAGUUAAAUUUGAAGCUAUUAGCUUAAGGGCAUUUCUUAAGCAUAGAUGUGAUUGGAAUGACACCAUUAUUCGUCCGUUCUAUGGUAUAGUAGAGGUUAUUUUUGAGGAAGAUAGAUUGGAGUGGAUGACGGGUAAAAGAAAAUAUGAGGCCACCUUUGCUGAGUUUGCUGUUGUCGAUCAAUUAAAUUAUGAUUUUCUCACUGAUGAUCAAAGCUAUAAUAUGGUUGAUGAGAAUCCACUAGAGCUUGAUGCCAUUACUCAGUUUUAUGAGCUAGCUAGGACGGGUAUCUCUAGAAUCUAUGACAAGAUCAAUGGUUUUAGGCAUCAUUUGGCUGUCAUAAAUAAGAUUGCUAAAGUAACAAUACUGCCUAAGAGUGGAUAUAAGGAUGGUUUUGUGGGCUAUCAUAGGAACUAUGUUCACCAUGUGAUGGUUAGUUAAAAGUUUGAUAUGGUUACGUUGAUCAUGGAUCAAAUUGCUGCAAAAAAGGUCAACCUCGAGAUAAAUGUAUACUUUGCUCCAUAUAUCAUGUCACUUAUCAAAGUAAAACAAGGUUCCGAGGUCCUUGUGAGGUGGUUCACACUCCCUUCAGGCCUUAUAAGAACAAUAAAGUUUUUCUUGAAAGGGAGUUGACUCCUUUCCUGGAUGUUGGAGGAGUUCCAGAUGAGGGAGACAUGAGAGAUAUGGGAGAGGCUCCAGCUCAGGAUGAUGAUGCUCAGGCUAUGCCUCCUCCUCCUCCCCCUAUGCAGUCACAGUGGGUACCUCCAGCUAGUUAUUUUGACCCUUACUUUGCCACCAUGGAGCAGAUAAUGAAUGAGAACUUUCAGCAUAUGUAGCAGGGGCUCAGUUCACACAUUGAGGCAUUUGGGCAGGAAAUGGUGACAAACUUUCAGAAUAUGCAGCAGUAGAUUGAUAACCGUUUUGUGGCUUUUGGGCAGCAUAGCCACUCUACUAUAUAUGAGCCCAUCAUGACUUGGCUACAGCACGUUCAGGAGGGUCUUCAUAGUGAUAUUGAGGUCUUGGAUGCUAGAUUCUGUGACUUUGACAUAACUGAGCAGUGUCAGCAGGUUGAGGAGUAGCAACAGAAAUUAGAGAAUGACUUCAAUACUUUUUCAUCCAGCUUCUCGAGUUUCAAUGAUCAUUUCUACAGCAUAUUUCUAGCUCCGGCACCUCCUCCUUAGUUCUAUCCUCAUCAGCCUUAUUAUCCUCCUCCACCGGCGCCAUAGGAUGGCUAGCCUCUUUUGGUACUUGAUGCCAAAGGGGGAGAAUAUUUGGAGACUUGGAGUGAUGGAUCAGUUGCAGGGGGAGCUCAUGUGAUGGACAUUUGCAUUUGUGUUUGCAUUUAUGUUUGCAUGGACUUUGGUUUGUAAUAAUUCGCUUAGCACUAAAACUUGGGUGUAAUUCGUGUUGAACUAUGUUUAUGCGCUUUAUUUCCUAUUUUGUUUCUUGUUCUAGCCGUACUAUCAAGAGGUGUCAAUUUCAUUUACUUGACGGUUCUAUAGUGCCACUUUGCUCAAACAAUUGAAUUAUAUGCAUGGGAACUAACUUAGUUUCAGAAAGUGAAAGAAAUGAGAAGAAAACUUGUUCUAAAAGAGGUCUAACUGUAUAAGGGCGGACGGUCCGGUCCUAAGUGGCGGACGGUCAGCUAAACCUAGACAGAAACAUAUUUUCGGGUCGAGAAAUUUUUUCUCAAAGGCGGAUGGUCCGCAGAUGUUUUCUGCGGACAGUCCGCAUGGGGUAGACGGUCCGGCCUAGCGAACGGUCAGCUAGACCUAGACAAAAUAUGUUUUCGGUUUGAGAAAUUCUUUCUCAAAGGCGGACAGUCUGCAAUUGUUUUCUGCGGACAGUCCGCAUGGGGCGGAUGGUCUGACCCUAGGUGGCGAACGGUCAGCUAAACCUAGACAGAAAUAUGUUUUCAGCCCGAGAUUUUUUUCUCAAAGGCGGACGGUCCACAAUUGUUUUCUGCGGACAGUCCACAUGGGGCGGACAGUACGCCACCCCUGUAACGGUCCUAGGUUGAAAGCCUUCACCUAGUUGUAGAGUAGCUAGAAAUAGUUUGUCCCCUUGUGUUUCUAAUCAAUUUUUUUAAGUGCUGUGAUUUUAGUUGAAACCGUCUAUUCAUCCCCCUCUAGUCGGUACUUCUUUUUGUCAUCGCCCAUACUUAAAGUGCAUCACAUGACAACACAAUGAAAAUUCCAAUAGUAGAUAACAUUGUUCAUGAAUAAACCAUAAAACUAGCAAGUCAUGGAGACUACUGUGUGCAACGAGACCACUUUCCCUUCCUCAGGGCAUCAGGAUUCUCCUCAAUCGCUGCGUCUCUCGACGUGCACGCUUGACGUGCACGCUCAAGCUUCUUUUCCCUCUCCUCCCUGUUCGCAGCAACCCGCCUCCUUUCCUCCUCUUCCUUGUGCUCCUUUUCUACAGCCUCCUCUCUGCGUCUCUUCUCCAUAGUCUCCUUCUUCUCUGCCUCCUACCGCAAUAUUUCCUGCAUCUCCUCCUUAUCUUCAGGCUUGAUCUUAGUGUCGAUCCACUGCUCAAAAUCACAGAGCGGUGGAGGGGUAUACAACAAAUGCAAUUGUUAGAAAAUAAAAAAAUCAUGCAAGAUGUCAUACGACAUAAAAUAAUUAUUAGAUAACAUCAAUUUCUCACCAUCUUAUUAAUGCGGCGCUGACGAAGUGUAGGCUCAAACGCAAAAUUGGAACACAUCCAAUACCUCUACCUAUACGUGUCCUCUGCAUCGGACUUGGCUACCUUGCAAGAAUCGUUGCAAAAGCACAUGGGCACUGGAACACCACUAGGCAGAGGCAAUGAGUUGAAGGCAUUUCCAAUCAUCCGGCCAUAACUACAAUUUAGUCAUCUUCAUUGUAAGAACCGAAAGCAAUUAACAUUAAACCUACACCUAGGGUUUCCCAUUCGAUCCACAACAAUGAACCCAUAACAUAACAACGUGCGCUGAGGUUACCUUGGUUUCCUAGCUUUUCCACGCCUUGACAUCCUACGGUUGCAUGAAACCCUAAGUUAAAAAAUCCGACUAAUAUAUACCGAAUCAACAUGAAAAAAAACUAUAAAGGAGGAAGGAUACCUUGCUCUCGAAGAUCCACGGAUCAAAUCAAAGUUUCCAAGGUCCAAUAGGCCGAUUCGUGGUGUAAGGUAAAGUGGGGAGAGAAAAAACCCAACAGGGAGGAGAAAGAAGAGGAGGAAGGCUCGGGCAGGAAGGAGGUAGGUAGUGGCGCCAAGCCCCUACCAUGUCAGCGUCCACGUCACCAGCUGCGCAACGACUUAGGCGCUAGAACCUCUGGCGCCGAGACGUGUAAGCUUGGCACCAGCGAGGAUGGCGCCAAGGCGCCAAGCUAAGGGUCCAGAUUUUGAAAUGUUUCUGCCAGGGGCCUAUUUGUGAGAAUCUUUCAAAAAAGAGCAAAAAAAAACUUCUCCGCUCGGCCGCGCGGCACCCAAAGUCGUGUGCCUCCUCUCUCUGGAUUUCCAUUGACCGGGGCCUGCUACAGUUUCUAGGUCAAAGCAGCAGGUAAUUGCCAGCGGCGAGGAGGAGUUCACCUACACGAUCAGCGCGACGGGGUGCAUCCGUUCUCCUACGUGACCUUAUUGGAAGAUGGUCGGAGUAGGCCGAUGACGAGCGGUGGCGCAGGCAGACUGGCAGCGCGCCGGUUCCAGUGAGCACGAUGGCGGAGAGAGGGAGGUAGCGAGCGUAGGGGCAUGAGGGAUUCACUUGAUUUGAUGGGUUGCUCGGUAUCGGGGACGGUCGGAAGUCGCUCGUCGGCGGUGAGAUACUGGCGGCUGCGCAGGGGCCAUGGGCGGCCAUGGGAUCUGAAAAUUCCUUGGUGUUUCGGUCGUCGGCAUUCAACGAGGGGUGGCAGAGCUUGAAGCUGAGCGACUUCGGGUGCCGCGCGGCUAGGUGGACAGUGGCGACGAUCGGAGGAGGUGCCGACGAGCCGUGCGGUGUGGAGCAGAGGAGGGAGAGGGGGUAGAAGGGUGGUGGGACCACAGGGGCAAAUUCACCUUUUCGCAGGGCAUUUAACGGUUCCCAGACAGAAAAUCUAAUAGUGUGGUAUGAGGAACGAAAGUUGAACUCGGUGUCAAAUAAGGAACUAAAAUUUUUUGAGCACCAAGAAAAAAACUAGUAGUUUUUCUGGUGUCAAAUAGGGAAAUUGUCUUGUCUCUUAAAGAAAUCCGCAUAAAUUUUAGGAAUUGUACUCUCAGUUUGUUUGUCAAUUUUCAAGUUAUAAAACUUGUCUAGAUAGUACAACCCUCAACAUCCAGAAAUACACAUCCUUACCCAAGACGGACAAUGUUUUUUUUAGCAUAGACAUAGCAUUAUUUUGACACACAUAAGCAUGCACUAAUGAGUCAGCAAAAUGGGUGAUUAAUCAUUGUGAAAUCAAGAUGACCAGGUGAAAGCUUGCUUUUACCGUGUGAGGUUGCUUACAAGUUGACCAAAUUAUUUGUGGCGGAUGACUGGAGUAAGGGUGUGUUUGGCAACUAAUGGAAAGGGGCAUGGGAAUUAGUGGUGAGAGUUGGCGGAGGGAAUUUACUUGGAAAUAUGAUUUUUAGUCCCAUUUCCUUGUUUGUCUUUCGGAGGAAAUUAAGAGUGGGAGUUUAUGUAAGAUUUCAUAUCCUUUGUUUGGUGUGAGGGUUUAGAAGUGGGAAAUUAUAUUUAAGUCAUGAUUAACGAUGUAGAUGCAUCCAUCUUCCACUUAAAACAAACUCCCACCCUCCCCUGGGAAGUGAUUGGUGGGAGUUUCUCCUCUAAAUUCCCAUUCAUCAUCCCAUUAUAACUUCCAUACCUACCAAACAAACAAUAGAAUUUUAGUCUCUCACAUCUAAACUCCCUUUCCCUCCUACCGAUUACCUCCAACCAAACGAGCCGCAAGCGACGAUGAGUCAAAUUCUCCGGCCAUGCUACCAAAUGCUGAGCCAUGUUAGCAUACGCCACCCAAACCAUAAUUUCCUUUUCACCAGCAUAUAAAAAAGAGUUGAAUGGCCCAUUCAAAAAAAAAUGAGUUGAAUGUUGUGUUUCAUAGUUGAUAUGGCUUCAGAACAUGAGGCUGAAAUUUUACUAAAAGGCGUAGCCGAGGGGUGGAAGUGGAGUCAUUUUUUUUUCAUUUUCGAGAACAUGGACUCGAUUUUUCAAGAACAGCUUUCGGAGUUGAGACGACUUCAUAACAUGACGUUGAAACUUUACUAAACAUAGACUCAUUUUCUUUCCACUUCCGAAAACACGGAUUUAUUGUUUCAAGAGGAGUGUCGAUGAAGUUAGAAAGCGGACUCAUUUUCUAGGUUUUAUGAAUGUCAAAGCACACUCAAAAUGUAAAUAGAAUGGUAGCGCCGAUGAAGACUCAUUUUCGUUGGAUCAGCGUCGAGAGGUGAACAGGAAGCAAAAUGUAAAUAAAAUGGUACUGGAUUGGAUUGGUCUGUCAUUUUCAAAACGGCACUACUUUAUUUUCCUAUGCAAUUUUGUCUUGCGCUUGGGGAUUCAAAAAUACGUGCUGCUAAUUUCAGCACCGAUCCAAUUGAUUCUUACCAGGGAAAAAAAAUCGAAUUGACUGCAUGUGCCUUCUCAACAUGUGAAAAAAAAGGACGGGACAGCGCAACAGAGAUCGGGUAGGAGCCGAAAAGGAAAUUAUGGUUUGGGUGGCGUAUGCUAACAUGGCUCAGCAUUUGGUAGCAUGGCUCACGAGCCCACGAGCACGUGACCUGACCCGACCGUCGUCGCUUCCAUGGGAUGGAGGGUCAGUCAACACGGCUGCACCGCACUCUCGGGCCUCGGCAACCCCCUCGUCUCCUCGUUCAUUCCCAUUCGCUGCCUGCGCCAUGGUAAAACAAUGCUCAUCAUUUUUUUCUUACCCCCGGGACAUAAACAAUGAUCAUCUGGAGUUAACAAUUUAGACCAGGAAUCCUGUUGGUCAAGCACUCAAACGACACACCGCUCGUUGCAAAAGGAAUCUCUCUAUUUUUCAACUGUAGCCUUUGCAGCGUUUUACCCCUUUGUUGACCUCGGUGAGUGCAUCUGUGCCACUAUUUUUCCUGCCGCGGGGGGGGGGGGGGGGGGGGGGGGGGGGGGGGGGUUGAUGCUUUGACACAGUGGGGGCAACGGAAAAACAGAAGAAAGAGUGUGGAUUUAGGGGUAUUUGUUUCUGUACUCCCUACUAAAAUUCCUGUCACGUCGAAUGUUUAGAUACUAAUUAGGAGUAUUAAAUAUAGAGUAAUUACAAAACUAAUUGCGCAGAUGGAGACUUAUUUGUGAGAUGAAUCUAUUAAGCCUAAUUAGUUCAUGAUUUGACAAUGUGAUGCUAUAGUAAACAUGUACUAAUGAUGGAUUAAUUAGGCUUAACAGAUUCGUUUCGUGAAUUAGCCUCCAUCUGUGUAAUUAGUUUUAUAAUUAGCUCAUGUUUAGUCCUCCUAAUUUGCCUCCGAAUAUUCGAUGUGACAUGAAUUGUAGUCCGGACUAAAGAUCCAAACACCCUUUACUAAACUAGUUUUUUUCGUGAUCUUUUAUAACUAAAAAUAUUCUUUUCAUAGCAGGUAUCAUGUUCAUUAGCAAAGAGAUUUAGUGGCGACUCUGUUAAUAUCAAGAACAAUUAAACGUUUAUAGAAGUGUGUUGCAUAUGUACUUAUGUUUAUAGUGGUCACAUCUCACGUAUAGAAGUCUACGUUCGUAAUGUGUUUUAAGAGAAAAAAAUACAAGGGAGGGGCGGAGGGCCAUCGCACUCUUUGACUAAUUCAGAAUUUCAGAUACCAAUCUGGUAACGUAUAGUAUAUAUUUUUUUUACCACUCGCAUGCAUUACAAGUUUAUUAGUUUUCCCCGGUAGUUAAGCUGUUUUCCGGAGACCCCAUGUAACUUAUCUAUUCAUAUUUCAUAAAAAGUGGUCGACUCAUGGAGUCAUCCCCGGUAGUUAAGCUGUUUUCUGGGGACCCCAUGUAACUCAUCUAUUCAUAUCUCAUAAAAAGUGGUCGACUCGUGGAGUCAUUUGAUCUGGCACCGGCACCGGCGAUGGCGAGUGGAGUGCAGAGCCAUGCAAAAUCCUACUGACCUUGUAGUAAAAAUGUUGUUCAGUGGAGAAAUAAUUUGUACAAUUAUCUUUCCAAUUUAGGAGGUGUUUUGCUCUAGGAGGAUUAAAAUUUAAUUCUAUCUAUAUUAAUUAAAAGUAUUAAAUAUAGUCUAAUUCAUGCAUGAGCCCGCGACGGCUCCUCCUCUUCGUUUCGACAGCGUGCACGUCGAGCCAUACUUCUUUCGCGAAAAAUCGACAAGGACGCCGUGUCGCCGUGUCCGUGUUUUUUUUUCUCUCCCAGGCUGAAGCGACGGGGGCGCACUGUUGGUCUCGUCUCGUCUUGACACCAUGUGCAGGCAGCGCGCGGCAAUGAUAAAAAGGAGCUUUGGAUGGUCGGCAGGCAAAAACAAAAGAGGCGACAGACACCGUCCGUCACCCGAACGAUCGGUCUCGCCCACUUCUACUAGCAGAGUAUAGCAGCAGCCUAUGCCUAUGUAGCAAACCAACGCACGUGAUGACGUAAAGGAGAACGGAUCGAGAUCGACUCACGUGCCUCCUCUCUCACCGUGAUCUCGACCAGAGGCAUCUACCGUUUGAAUCGAAGCUAAACUAAUGGUUUUGGUUAUUAUGAUAUGAUUUUAAUAGGAUCAAGAGGCUCUGCUUGCAUCGGAGUUGAGAUGGCCGAGUUGGUCUAAGGCGCCAGAUUAAGGUUCUGGUCCGAAAGGGCGUGGGUUCAAAUCCCACUCUCAACAUCCCCGUAUGUUUUUUUCCCAAUUUUCCUACUUAUUUUUAAGACACUUAUAAGAUAAGUAAGUAAAGUUCCCUCGAAAUAGCAUCACAGUGGUCGUGCCGGAGUGGUUAUCGGGCAUGACUAGAAAUCAUGUGGGCUUUGCCCGCGCAGGUUCGAAUCCUGCCGACCACGAUUUUUCACUUCCAAUUUUUGCGUCUCUUUUUUCCCCCGGUUUACCCCACUUUGAGAGCUUUGAGGGCUUGGCUCUUGAGCCUGUUAAGCAUGUGCUUCCUCGACAGCUUUUGAGGUCUUUAUAUCAUUCCACUGACCUAAUAAAUCAGCCCAGUAGGCAGUAGUCCCAUUAUUUUCAACAAUGUUCUUGCACUCUAGAACUCUAUAUCAUGUACGUAUCUAUGUACAGUGGCAAUACGAGAGCGAUCAACCAAGAUAUUGACUGAAUGUACGGCGUGCCGUCACCUGCCAAGCCAAAAAACAAAGGUCCUGUCCUAAGAAGAAGAAGAAGAAGAAUGAUGAAAGGGCUGUAACGUCACAUAUCGUUCAUGUGUCCAUCGGCACGAGAGCGUUGUCACGAAAACAUUCAUGGGUCCAUUGGCAUAUGGCCAUAAGGGCAUUGCCAUGGAGGAAAGGACGAGUGCUGCACUGAAAAACAUGCAAAGAAAGAGCACAAGUUGAGUGGAGUAAGCCAGAGAACUAGUUAAUAGCUGGGUGGUUAGCAGAAAGUGUCGCACCCCGAGCUCACCAAGAUUCAAGCUCUACAUUUAAUUUGACACGCCGUGUAUUUUAUUAACGUGAUUUAGUAUCUUUUAGUGGCAGUAAGCAUGAUGUUUGGUAUAAUGAUAACUCAAUUUCAAGAUCUGUCAUUCAAGUCCCUAUUAACCUUGAUAAGGGUGUAUGUGCGUGCAAUUACCCGAGUCUGCGUUUGUACUACUAUUUUUUUUAAAAAAAAGUUGAGUUGUUAUGGAUGACUUAGGAUUGAAACAUGAUUUUCUGCAUAUAGGGUUUAUUCGAUUCAUAGACUAACAUGAUCACGCCACACCUCCAGCAUGCUACAAUUUCUUAGGCAAGUGUUUACUUCACGCCGCAAAAUUCCACUUGCCACAGUUUCUUAGUGCCGUGUCCCAUGUGUCAUGGGCUCAGUUUCUAGCCAAACUUUGUUGUUGAGCAAAUUUUUUAUGGUGUGUCACACUUUGCUAAUUUUAGACAUGACAAGCGUAGGUGUGAACCAAAUAGGCCCUAAGCCUUGUCAGGUUAAAGCUUUUAUGCAACUCUAUGUAGUCCUUUAAACAUACUUCGCAACAAAUGCAAAACACUUAUUGUUUCCUUCGUUCUUCGCAUUACCCUCAUUUUAGUACCGAGUAGGUUUCACCUUCAACUUGAACUAAAGACAUUUGUAAGCUCUUAUAUAUAACAAAAAAAAUGACAUUUGUAAGCCUACUGGCCCAGUUUUAUGGAGCUUUCGGUCAAAACUAAUAAACAAAUUAAAAGCAAAAAAGGAAACUAAUCUUAAUAGAAACCCGGCCCCACCUGUCUGUCAACCCCAGAGGCGACGGAGAGUCGCUGACAUGUGGGCUCGCACAACGCGCCGCGGGUCCUUCUUGCGUCAGCGGAGCACUUCCUCGUGGGCCCGGCUGUUUGUUAGGACUGCCCCGGGCCGGUGCGUAGGGCAACCUCGGCAAGGGCCUGCUGCGGAUCGGAGCGGGUCGGGUUGGGGCGUGUGGCUGCGCUGCGUCGGCGAUUCUCCCGGCGAACCAACGACGCCAGCCACACCCGAGCGAGCGGGGCAGAGAGGGAGCGCGUGGACGCGGCGCCCACCUCAGCCUGAGGGAUCGAAGGGGGGCCUUCCCGUCCGCGUGGCGGCGCCUCUCGUUUUCGGCUCCCUGAGGAGGGAUUUCUUUUCGUUUCGUGCGGCGAGUUCUUGGCCGUUUUGGCAGUUUACCCGGUUUCUUCUUCUUGGGGAUUUUAGUCUGUCCCCCACCAGAUUGGCUUGCGUUUCGGUUGGUUUAGGUGAAGCCUACUGUAAACAGCAGGUAAUUCCGUUCUUGUUUCUUUCCCUAAAGAUUUUCUGUCAAUUUUUGUUUGAUUUGGAGGGCCAUCAGAGACCUCGUUUGCACGGUGGUUCCUUUGAUGUUGUUUUUGCAGAGAUCCCGCGACUGAUUUUUUUUUCCUUCAGAGAAACAUUAUCGUCGUUGUUGGAAUUUGUGAACUCGUGUUAAUUUCGUAGGAUUUCCCCUAAAAAUCUAUUCUUUCUCCCGGCACAAGCAUUCCGACCACAAACAAUUUCAUCGCCUCCCGCACCGCUCUUUCAAGAUCUGUUUGAAUUAGGUUAUCUGGCAUAUACAGCUUUAAAACGAAUCCGUCACGAAAGGGGGGAAAAUAGAAAGGAACACAAUAAUGCAUUUCGUUUUCGUGUAAAAAAGCAACACCUUUUGAUGCCGAGCGAGCAUUCCUUCUUUUCCAGUCGGAAUACAAUGUCGUACAAGGAAGAAAGAAUGCGCCUUUUUUCCCCAUCCUUUUUCGGUGCAAUUGCGGUGUUGAUAAGAAAAGCAAAGCCUUCCUCUACCAGUUUCGUUUGGGUUUUCUCGCCGUAUUGAUUUUGUACACGCAUUGGUUUUCGCCUACUUUCUCCAUGCGGCCACUUCCUUCCAAUUCAGUGUACUAAAUCCUCGUGACCUUGGUUUCAGGACGCCGUGAGCGUGAGGGAUGGAGCACUGCUAUUUGAGGCAGCCCCUCUCAAGGGCUGAAGCUAUGCCCGAGAGGAGGUCCAGGUUCUGGCCGAUGGAUUCGCCGCCGACGCCCCGUGCAGAGGUCAUCUGCCCCCAGCCUCGCCGCGCCACCCGCAUUCCGUACGCUGUGGAAACCGUGAACAGAGCCAGCCCCAAGGCGAACGGGUUAGUUCUUUGAUUAUCUUCUGCCUUCCUUUGUUUACUGUAAGAGGUCCAGUUAGCUGUCUAGUGGCAAAAAUGCAAACACUUGCCGUGAAUGUCCUGGUGUAUCUGGAUCCAAGAUUAUAGUAGUGAUUUUGGGUGGCACCAUGACAGAAGUAUAUGAAUUUGAAUGUUGUAUGGGUUGGUUGUGCAGAUCGUGAGAUAUAUAUGCUACUACAUUGCGUAGUGUUAAUUGAAUUGCACAAUUGACGUACAGAGGCAGGCCUUUCCUAUUCUAGGCACAAUAGAGCUAUAUGUGGUAGUGGUAUAGAAAAUGAUUCAGUACACAGCAUAUCAUUCACGAGCUUGUCAUACAAAUAAAGGGCACUGGUACGAAUACGACAGUAUUUCUGGUUUGCUUUGCCUGAAUUACGAAAGGAAUCCGUUACAAGGGUAACUGCCUGUCUAACUGUUGUAAUCUAUCCUGUUGGAUGUUUUCGAUGACGAUUAGUCUAGUACUGAUCAUGACGUCCUUUGCUUAACCUUUACUCCAUGACUGCAGUGCAUUCCCAUUGUACAGAUCAGACUCCACUUCUGAUGUACUUGAUCUUAUCCUCAGUAAGGUAAUUAUUGAAAAGAUCAUUCAUUGAUUGAAUGAAAUAAGGCAAACUCCCAAGCAUGAUUAAAUUGAUAUCCAACUUUCUGUUUUUCAGAAUGACCCAGAUGGAUAUUCGAGCAGCCAGGUGGGCUUUUUAUGUGGCUCGCCUCCAGUACGCACUAACAACCCUGUCAUCCAUGAUCCACUGUUUGGUGAAAGAGUACCAUCCUUUUCUCCUUUAGGAAGCUCCUUUGGCAAAACGCUAGCAGGAAGAGUUGAAGUAGGUUCUCCAUCUUGCGGCGUUAGCAGCAGCCCAAAAGUAAGAAUAGAAGGUUUUGCUUGUGGGAACUCGGAGACCCACUAUGCAGUUACCUUUGUCUGAGCAUUUUGUUGUUCUGUUUCUGUUUCCGCCCUUUGCUCCUGGGUAAUCACUAUGGCGGUGCAGGAUAUAAGUAGUACCUUUAAGCUAGCCUGAUUAGAGUUGCCUUUGCCCUUCAGAUUGUGGCAUUUGAAGCUGCACAAUCGCAGUGAGCUGUAAGAUGUAUAUAAACGAGGUGCCCGCAUAUGUAACCAUAUGAUGUAUGUGUCUAGUAAGCGUAGCUGGAGUUCCAGUGUUUGAUGGAUGAUGAGUCUGUGAAUAGAUCGGUUUUUUGCAUUUGAAAGCAGAAGAUCCAACAUGAAGUUUUCAGUUAUUAUGAAUUUAUCUUGUUUUGUGUCACAUGUUCACACGAAAAGCUUUUGCUGAUGCAUUACAAACUGUCCCAACAAUUUUGUUUUGGUGUUUGAUAUAGAGCCUGGAUUACAGUACAUUUGGUUGUUCUUUCCAUUCUCUAUCAGCUCAGAGUGUGCGUGUCAACGUCCUGCUACAAGAAUAGGGUGGAAUCACAGCAUAUAUGGUGAAAUCACAGCAUAUAGAUUGUAAAAUCAGUUGAUGUGAAAAAUACUUGCUUUUCAGUUAUACGCAGAAUCAUCUGUGCAUAAAGGCAGCUUCAUUCCUGGUAUUGGUUUCUCGUAUGCUUUCUGAAAGAGAUAGGUUCUCGGUUUUUGAAUGCAGAAAAAGAAGACCACAGUGUUUAUUAAAUUAUAUGACUCGAUGAACUGAUUGCCAAAACAAUGAGGUUUACACGGUGAUGUUCAACAAGAACAAAAUAGUCUUGGUACCAGAAACAAAUGAUUUGCCCACAUUACAGUGCGUCUUAGUUCCUGCCAAACCGUGGUUAAUGGUUCUCGGUUCUUGAAUGCAGAAAAAAAAAA